rnacentral:lncRNA from 1 species
AUGUUCCCAAGGGAUUCAUCUGACAUCAUAACCUAUGGAAGAGAAGGCUUAGCAAGUUAUGAAUGUCAGAAGAACAAAAAGAUCCCAACUUCUGACGAGCCUCGGAGGGACUUGAGAGCAUGGAGGUCAGUUCACAGAGUGGACCCAGCACUUUGCAGCACUGUGAUUAAAAGUGAAGGACAUCUAUCACUCUGCAGUGGUCUUCAGGAUGGGCAGCACCCUCUGCUGUUGAACAUGCCACUCGACAGGGUUAAGUGUCAGAGGCUGUCAGUUCCCAGUGCUCGAAUUACAGUGUAAGUACAAGAUGGAUUUUUUUUUUUAAGUAAAUCUGGGAAAAAAGGGAUAGAUACAGUUUCUGUAUUUCUGUGUGAAUUGACUUUAUAUAUUUUGUCUUUUUAUACCCCCUGUUAAAGACAGUUUUUCCAAAUAAACUUUCUGAACUCUGGCA